GAUGAACGCUAGCGGCAGGCUUAAUACAUGCAAGUCGAACGGUAAGGUCUCUUCGGAGAUACACGAGUGGCGCACGGGUGCGUAACGCGUAUGCAACCUACCUUUAACUGGGAAAUAGCCCCAAGAAAUCGGGAUUAAUGUCCCAUAUUAUUUUCUGAAUGCAUAUUUGGGAAAUGAAAGCUCCGGCGGUUAAAGAUGGGCAUGCGUGACAUUAGCUAGUUGGUGAGGUAACGGCCCACCAAGGCGACGAUGUCUAGGGGUCCUGAGAGGGUUAACCCCCACACUGGUACUGAGACACGGACCAGACUCCUACGGGAGGCAGCAGUAAGGAAUAUUAGGCAAUGGACGCAAGUCUGACCCAGCCAUGCCGCGUGAAGGAUGAAUGUCCUAUGGAUUGUAAACUUCUUUUGUGCAAGAAAAACCCCUCGGUUUCGUACCGGGGCUGAUUGUAUUGCACGAAUAAGCAUCGGCUAACUCCGUGCCAGCAGCCGCCGUAA
rnacentral:rRNA from 1 species